CCUACGGGUGGCAGCAGUGAGGAAUAUUGGUCAAUGGACGAGAGUCUGAACCAGCCAAGUAGCGUGAUGGAUGACUGCCCUAUGGGUUGUAAACCUCUUUUAUAUGGGAAUAAAAUAGGGUAUGCAUACCCUAUCGUAUGUACCAUAUGACUAAGGAUCGGCUAACUCCGUGCCAGCAGCCGCGGUAAUACGGAGGAUGCGAGCGUUAUCCGGAUUUAUUGGGUUUAAGGGGAGCGUAGGUGGAUUGUUAAGUCAGUUGUGAAAGUUUGCGGCUCAACCGGAGAAUUGCAGUUGAAACUGGCAGUCUGGAGUACGGUAGAGGUGGGCGGAAUGCGUGGUGUAGCGGUGAAAUGCUUAGAUAUCACGAAGAACUCCGAUUGCGAAGGCAGCUCACUGGACUGCAACUGACGCUGAUGCUCGAAAGUGUGGGUAUCAAACAGGAUUAGAUACCCUUGUAGUC
rnacentral:rRNA from 1 species